rnacentral:rRNA from 1 species
GUGAGGAAUAUUGCGCAAUGGAGGCAACUCUGACGCAGCCAUGCCGCGUGCAGGAAGAAGGCGCUACGCGUUGUAAACUGCUUUUAACCGGGAAGAAACCCCAGGACGUGUCCUGGGUUGACGGUACCGGAGGAAUAAGCACCGGCUAACUUCGUGCCAGCAGCCGCGGUAAUACGAAGGGUGCAAGCGUUAUCCGGAUUCAUUGGGUUUAAAGGGUGCGUAGGCGGAGCGUUAAGUCAGUGGUGAAAUCCUGCAGCUUAACUGUAGACUUGCCAUUGAUACUGGCGCUCUUGAGUGCGCUGGAAGUGGGCGGAAUGUGCCGUGUAGCGGUGAAAUGCUUAGAUAUGGCACAGAACACCAAUUGCGAAGGCAGCUCACUAAGGCGAUACUGACGCUGAGGCGCGAAAGCGUGGGGAGCAAACAGGAUUAGAAACCCGGGUAGUCC